GAGUUUGAUCCUGGCUCAGGAUGAACGCUGGCGGCGUGCUUAACACAUGCAAGUCGAACGGGAAAUAUUUCAUUGAGACUUCGGUGGAUUUGAUCUAUUUCUAGUGGCGGACGGGUGAGUAACGCGUGGGUAACCUGCCUUAUACAGGGGGAUAACAACCAGAAAUGGUUGCUAAUACCGCAUAAGCGCACAGGACCGCAUGGUCCGGUGUGAAAAACUCCGGUGGUAUAAGAUGGACCCGCACUGGAUUAGCUAGUUGGCAGGGUAACGGCCUACCAAGGCGACGAUCCAUAGCCGGCCUGAGAGGGUGAACGGCCACAUUGGGACUGAGACACGGCCCAGACUCCUACGGGAGGCAGCAGUGGGGAAUAUUGCACAAUGGGGGAAACCCUGAUGCAGCGACGCCGCGUGAAGGAAGAAGUAUCUCGGUAUGUAGACUUCUAUCAGCAGGGAAGAUAGUGACGGUACCCGACUAAGAAGCCCCGGCUAACUACGUGCCAGCCGCCGCGGUAAUUC
rnacentral:rRNA from 1 species